ACCAGGAGUGGAGCCUGCGGCUUAAUUUGACAACACGGGAAACCUCACCCGGCCCGGACACGGACAGGAUUGACAGAUUGAUAGCUCUUUCUCGAUUCCGUGGGUGGUGGUGCAUGGCCGUUCUUAGUUGGUGGAGCGAUUUGUCUGGUUAAUUCCGAUAACGAACGAGACUCUGGCAUGCUAACUAGUUACGCGACCCCCGAGCGGUCGGCGUCCCCCAACUUCUUAGAGGGACAAGUGGCGUUCAGCCACCCGAGAUUGAGCAAUAACAGGUCUGUGAUGCCCUUAGAUGUCCGGGGCUGCACGCGCGCUACACUGACUGGCUCAGCGUGUGCCUACCCUACGCCGGCAGGCGCGGGUAACCCGUUGAACCCCAUUCGUGAUGGGGAUCGGGGAUUGCAAUUAUUCCCCAUGAACGAGGAAUUCCCAGUAAGUGCGGGUCAUAAGCUUGCGUUGAUUAAGUCCCUGCCCUUUGUACACACCGCCCGUCGCUACUACCGAUUGGAUGGUUUAGUGAGGCCC
rnacentral:rRNA from 1 species